UACGUAGGGUGCAGGCGUUAAUCGGAAUUACUGGGCGUAAAGCGUGCGCAGGCGGUUUCUUAAGUCAGAUGUGAAAGCCCCGGGCUUAACCUGGGAACUGCGUUUGAAACUGGGAGACUCGAGUGUAGCAGAGGGGGGUGGAAUUCCACGUGUAGCAGUGAAAUGCGUAGAUAUGUGGAGGAACACCGAUGGCGAAGGCAGCCCCCUGGGUUAACACUGACGCUCAUGCACGAAAGCGUGGGGAGCAAACAGG
rnacentral:rRNA from 1 species